UGCGUCCUAGAAACGCAGCCGGCAGGCGGUCGGCCUGCGCCGCGGGAAACACACCCCCUUAACGCCAUAGUUCCGGGAGCUUCCUUCAGAACGGGAGCGAAUGGGUCACCGCCCCCAAGUGUCUAGGCACAGAGCCCCCAACCCCUUGUUACAGAAGGCCCCGUGCUGCUAGCCUCUUUGCAGGCAGGGGCCUCUGUGUGAGAAUGUUGGAUUCCACUUCACUGCUUAGAGAAGAUACUCCAGACUAGUCAUGCCAUUGUGAGAAGUACACCAGUAGAUUACUUUCUGAACUCCGAAAGCUACCUUUCCAGUGUGGCUGUCUUGAACUUUUCCAAGUUCAGUUGCUGCUGAAGCUCUUCUGUUCUCCCCAGGGAGGGACAAAGAACUCGACUUCUGGUCAGAGCUGCCGCAGAAGGUCUCGCCACUGGAUCAGGGUCGAUCAUGUCCUGAUGAGAGAGGAACCAGUCAGCUUCAUUUUCAGCCUCUUCCGGGACAACAGGAGAGUCACUCGGUAUCUUAUGACAGAUGAAGAUGUUACCUGGGAAGAGAAUUGUUGCAAGUAACGAUUCCUAAAUUUUUUUGCUGCAGAGAUUCUUUUCUGACUCUGGGGUGAAGGGAUUAAUAUUGACCAGAGCCAGAGAGGUCAUCUCAUCGGUGAGGGGACCAGGCGUGAGUCUCAGGUGCUUAGAUCCUCGGGAAGGGAGCUUCCCUGUUGAAAUCACUGACUGGCUCGAAUGGCCCUGGAUGAGGAGAACAAAAGAUUUCUGCAACAGGAAAGUCAGGUGCCCGGGAGGAAGAUGCCCAAGGAAGAAAGUCGGCUUUGCAUCUCAGGCCUGAGUUCCCCACGCUGUGUGCUUAGGGAAGUUCUCCUUCUGCAGACACUGCCGAGGAUGAGAAUGCUUCCAGAAUCAGAGCUCCAUGGUGACCAAAGCGCAGUUCUGAGGCCUUGAAACACAGAUGGGAAGGACAGGAGCAGGAAAAUCCAGCUAAUUCAAAUUGAGUUUGCAAGAGGUAGAAACCUGUAUUUACCUCCGAGGUAGACUGUUCCUUCGCAGAAGUAAAAGUUAAGGCUGUGGAAAAUGAGCUAUUUGUUUGAGAAUCUGUUGUUCCUAGGAGGGACCUGCUAGUCUUGUCUCCUCAGUCAGGAGGGAAAAAAAACAUUAAAAAUGCUUGAACAAACCAAAGUGAAGUUCUACAUAGUAUUUUUUGAAGACUGAAUUACGAUCGAGUCAUUCUAGACUGAAAAAAAUACCAGUGUUGGAUUAUGGUAUAUUUGAUGGGACCACCCUAUUGGGAACCCUCAGGAGGUCCGGUUUCCCAUAAGAAAUGGACUUUUUUACUGCCAGGCUUUCUGGGAAGCUGGCAGAUUCCAGGAAGGGAAGUGGAGGCUUGAAGCUGGCAGAGGCCGAAGGCAACUCUCUGGGCCUCAGGCUGUUGGGCCUGGGCUCUGAAGACUGGAGAGAACGCGAGGGAACGUGAGGGUGAUGGAGAAGGGAAGUUGACACGUGCCCAGGAUGUGCGUGUAGAGCGUGCAGGCACCAGGACAUCAGUCAGGGUCCUCGGACAAGGGCCCAUGGGCCUCGUCAACAUACGAAGGAACAUCUCCAGCUCACUGGGGAUCAGGCAGUGCUACCUCUAAGGUCCCUCCCGCUUCCUGGCCCUUACCUUGCCCACUCUCGCAUCACAACCGGAAGCGUUGCGUCAACCCCGAAGGGGAAGGUUUGCAACAUCUUAGAGAAAAGCAGAAGAUGUUCACUGCUGACGUGUAUGGGUCAGCUUCCCGGACAGGUCCUUCAGCAGCCUGGACUGUGAGCAGGUGCAGAUGGGUGUGGCCGCCCUGGGCGUGGACCCGUCCCAGCAGGGGUCUCAGGUGCUCCUGACUCCCAGCAACUUUCUUUCCAUGAGGACAGCUGUCAGCACAGUGUGGUGCCAGGAGAGAGAGGGACCUUCUCUUGGUCUCGUCCCACCACCAAGAGAGAGCACACAGAAGCCGCACCUGUCAGUGGUGAAUCUAGUGAUAAUCACGUCAGUCAUUUACAAGAAUCCCGAACAGCACUUUAUAUUUGGCUACCCCUUUUUUCAUUUCAGCGUGCUUUCACACCUGUAAGUGAGUAGCAGUCCCAGCGGAAGAUUCCAAGGAAAGAUCGUGGACCAGGUAAAAUAAAGCUGGAGGUCAUUUGAAA